rnacentral:rRNA from 1 species
UACGUAGGGUGCGAGCGUUGUCCGGAAUUAUUGGGCGUAAAGGGCUCGUAGGCGGUUUGUCACGUCGGGAGUGAAAACUCGGGGCUCAACCCCGAGCCUGCUUCCGAUACGGGCAGACUAGAGGUAUGCAGGGGAGAAUGGAAUUCCUGGUGUAGCGGUGGAAUGCGCAGAUAUCAGGAGGAACACCGGUGGCGAAGGCGGUUCUCUGGGCAUUACCUGACGCUGAGGAGCGAAAGUGUGGGGAGCGAACAGG